CCCGCUGAACUUAAGCAUAUCAAUAAGCGGAGGAAAAGAAACUAACAAGGAUUCCCCUAGUAACUGCGAGUGAAGCGGGAAAAGCUCAAAUUUGAAAUCUGGCGGUCCCUUGCGGCCGUCCGAGUUGUAAUCUAGAGAAGCGCCAUCCGCGCUUGGCCACCGUGUACAAGUCUCCUGGAACGGAGCGUCGCAGAGGGUGAGAAUCCCGUCUUUGACACGGAAAACAGCGGCCAGGGCUUUUUGGUGUGAUGCGCUCUCGAAGAGUCGAGUUGUUUGGGAAUGCAGCUCAAAAUGGGUGGUAAAUUCCAUCUAAAGCUAAAUAUUGGCGAGAGACCGAUAGCGAACAAGUACCGUGAGGGAAAGAUGAAAAGAACUUUGGAAAGAGAGUUAAACAGUACGUGAAAUUGUUGAAAGGGAAACGCUUGAAGUCAGUCACGUUGGCCGGGGAUCAACCUUGCAUUAUUUAUUUUUGCUGGGUGUACUCUCCGGCUAUUACGGGUCAGCAUCAAUUUUGACUGUCGGACAAUGGCUAGGGGAAUGUGGCAUCCUCGGAUGUGUUAUAGCCCUUGGUCGCAUACGAUGGUUGGGAUUGAGGAACUCGGCACGCCGCAAGGCCGGGCUUUUAAAACCACGUUACGUGCUCAGGAUGCUGGCAUUAAAUGGCUUUAAUCGACCCGUCUUGAAACACGG
rnacentral:rRNA from 1 species